AGCGAACGCUGGCGGCAGGCCUAACACAUGCAAGUCGAACGAGCCCUUCGGAGUUAGUGGCGGACGGGUGAGUAACACGUGGGAACGUGCCUUUAGGUUCGGAAUAACUCAGGGAAACUUGUGCUAAUACCGAAUGUGCCCUUCGAGGGAAAGAUUUAUCGCCUUUAGAGCGGCCCGCGUCUGAUUAGCUAGUUGGUGAGGUAAAGGCUCACCAAGGCUACGAUCAGUAGCUGGUCUGAGAGGAUGACCAGCCACAUUGGGACUGAGACACGGCCCAAACUCCUACGGGAGGCAGCAGUGGGGAAUCUUGCGCAAUGGGCGAAAGCCUGACGCAGCCAUGCCGCGUGGAUGAUGAAGGUCUUAGGAUUGUAAAAUCCUUUCACCGGUGAAGAUAAUGACUGUAGCCGGAGAAGAAGCCCCGGCUAACUUCGUGCCAGCCGCCGCAGUAACAC
rnacentral:rRNA from 1 species